CACAGGUGCCUGUCUACGCCCUUGACGUCCAUCGCCCUUUUUUUUGGGUUCUGUCUCGACCGGAGGGCGCGUCUUAAUGACGUGACGGGGGCUGUAGUUAGAGUGCCCCCUUUGGACGGCGGCCGUUGAGUAUAAGAGCCAGGCGGCGGCCGAAGGGUAGACGAGGGGGCGCGUCGAGCGCCCGUUCCUCCCCAAGCUAGGUUAGAAAGAAAGGUGAAGGAGGACUCAGGACUUGAUGGUUGCGCCGACAUUUAGAGACGGUAGCGGCAGGCGCAAGAAGGAGUAGCGUUGUAGCACGGGGAGGCGUUAUAAACGGGUCACCCAAGAUUCCAGUUUCUGGUCUCAUAUUUUAUUUCCACCCAAUGACAAUUAUAAAGUAUCUUACCUCAGGAACACCUUCGACAGGAUAAACGAACUCGGCCGCAGUGAACGAGAGUAGCACUGCCGACAAAGUCAACGGAUACGUAGUCGCAGAGCACGAGACAUGGUACCGUUCCUCUACCUCUCCUUGAACCUGAAGAGCCUCCGGAGGUAGUGUGAACUAGCCAGCGUCCGAGAGUACUAGGGGGAACGUUCGAGUACGUCGGAUGACGACUACAAGAUAGACAAAAGUAGACAUAGCGUGGAGCAGUGGCGCAAAUGGCGGCCUCGGAGACACUACCGCGAGAAGAAGACAGACAGAGGUAGAUAACGGAUGCGGUUCAGCGUCGAGUUAGAUUACCUAGGAAAGCACAGUUCCACGACAAGGUUCAGUAAAUGGGCCAACGUUCCUAACGAUAACUGAAAGACGUAUUCGUGCCACCGUCACACCGACCAUUGUCCCGUAACCAACGAUUUAUUACAUGAACCCUAAAGGUAUACGUAUCGUAAACAGUCAGUACACUCCGAAGGGUUGUAUUUCUAAACAAGCAACGAAGAGCACACAGACAAACAGAUACUACAAAAGACCCAGAAGAAGAGGCUCUCCAAAAAGCCUCGUUUACAAUACCAGAGACAACGGUGAGUCUUCCGUAGAUUGGGUCAAGUGUGUCAUCGUUUGUUCGAAUCGGACGGACCCAACGUCAACUAAUGCUUCUUCUAUCUCGAAGGCCACUUCGAACAGAAGGGAUCCUUAAACAACCCGCCCUAACAAGGUCCUUCGUGAGGACCACUGAUGUACUACGAACCGGAACCUCUGUACCGGUAGGGUCCCUACGAAGAUCGAGAACAUGAGAGAAAGCUAGUAGCGUUCUCGUUUCCACACCGACAAGGUAGUCUGAACAGAGGGAGGAGUUUCACCGCUUUUAUACAUACCAAACGCGAUUGUCCAAUACCACAACCGAACCAUUGACGUAACCGUCGACCCUAGAACAGAGUCAGCGGGGUCGGACGAGAUGAGAUGGACCACGGGAGCUGUGAGCCCGGGUAGCACAUGGACAGUACCAACUCCUUACUAGACACCCUCGACACCCUUCCUAGACCGUGUUAACACUUGCUCUUUCGAGUAAACGAACUUCAGACUCUACUAGGUUGUACCGGUAUUUUUAGUGUUGGAGGACACUACAUUAGAUCAUUUUUUUUAGACGAGGUUCGAAGAGUAAGACGUCCUCUUAUAAAUAUUCUAUCAAACCGGAAUCAUUAGAUUCGGAAAAUGGUACAAGAGUGUUCUCCUUUGUUAUACAUUAAAUAGACAUUACCUUUCACAAUGAGGCAUAAUAUAAACCACUUUAAAAAAUAAGAGAGAACGAGCUUACCACUUCGAUGAAGAUCAGUACAAAGCACUAAUGAGUUUC
rnacentral:rRNA from 1 species